rfam:Acidaminococcus sp. CAG:917 genomic scaffold, scf22
UUUAUUCAAGAGAUAGGUGGUGCAGUAUUCUAGUCAGGCAAUUCUGUUUGAAGGCGGGGGUAAAAUAUCGCCGAAGGGCAUAUCGAUGAAGUUUUUGGUGAUGGCUUUGAUUGCCCAAAUCAGGGUCUUUGCUGAGAGUUAAGAUUUUUGGGCGACUUGCAACGGCAUGCAAUCAUCGACCCAACUAUCGCGGAGAUUCGUCACGGUAGCCUAAGCUACUGAACGGAGUGGAACCUGCUAUGCGGUGUUUAUUAUAUUACGCUGUGUACAGUGUAGCCUGCCUUGAGUGAAAUAUUCGGAUUCAAGAACACGCCUUUGCAAGUUUGGCCGACGAGCAAUUGCGAUUGCUUGAUGAAAUUUAUUUUGCAAAAGAGGCUAAGACAUGAAUUUGUCUGCCAAGGAAAACUUCUAGACUGUUCCAUAGGAGGUUUUUCGGGGAUUAUAGUGUGCUCUGAGUGGUUAUCCGGUGGCGUUACAGGCAACUUAACGAUUUGCAGUUUAAUAGGAAACUUCUUUCACGGCAACGGAAAGUUUCUGCAAAAGGGAAAACCAACCGGACCUAAGACACAAGGUUUACUCGAUAAAUUACCACCGUCUCAUUUUUUUGG